rnacentral:rRNA from 1 species
UCGAGAAUUUUUCUCAAUGGGGGCAACCCUGAAGGAGCGACGCCGCGUGGAGGAUGAAGGCUUUCGGGUUGUAAACUCCUGUCAUUUGGGAACAAGUUGCGAGUAUUAACCGUGCUCGCAUUGAUAGUACCAGAAGAGGAAGGGACGGCUAACUACGUGCCAGCAGCCGCGGUAAUACGUAGGGGGCUAGCGUUGUCCGGAUUUAUUGGGCGUAAAGAGCGUGUAGGCGGCCAGAUAGGUCUGCUGUGAAAACUCGAGGCUCAACCUCGAGCUGUCGGCGGAAACCAUUUGGCUAGAGUCCGGAAGAGGAAAGUGGAAUUCCUGGUGUAGCGGUGAAAUGCGCAGAUAUCAGGAAGAACACCCGUGGCGAAGGCGGCUUUCUGGGACGGUACUGACGCUGAGACGCGAAAGCGUGGGGAGCGAACAG